rnacentral:rRNA from 1 species
AGUGAACGCUGGCGGUAGGCCUAACACAUGCAAGUCGAACGGCAGCACAGUAAGAGCUUGCUCUUACGGGUGGCGAGUGGCGGACGGGUGAGGAAUACAUCGGAAUCUACUUUUUCGUGGGGGAUAACGUAGGGAAACUUACGCUAAUACCGCAUACGACCUACGGGUGAAAGCAGGGGAUCUUCGGACCUUGCGCGAUUGAAUGAGCCGAUGUCGGAUUAGCUAGUUGGCGGGGUAAAGGCCCACCAAGGCGACGAUCCGUAGCUGGUCUGAGAGGAUGAGCAGCCCCGCAGGUACGACGCGACGCACCAUCCUACUAGAGGCAGCAGCGGUGAGGAUUAGUGAUCAUGGGAAGCAGCCUCCUGCCGCCCCGCCGGGGUGAAGAAGGCCUUCGGGUUGUAAGGCCCUUUUGUUGGGAAAGAAAAGCAGCAGGUUAAUACCCCGCUGUUCUGACGGUACCCAAAGAAUAAGCACCGGCUAACUUCGUG